rnacentral:rRNA from 1 species
GUGAACGCUGGCGGUAGGCCUAACACAUGCAAGUCGAACGGCAGCACAUUAAGAGCUUGCUCUUACGGGUGGCGAGUGGCGGACGGGUGAGGAAUACAUCGGAAUCUACUUUUUCGUGGGGGAUAACGUAGGGAAACUUACGCUAAUACCGCAUACGACCUACGGUUGAAAGCAGGGGAUCUUCGGACCUUGCGCGAUUGUAUGAGCCGAUGUCGGAUUAGCUAGUUGGCGGGGUAAAGGCCCACCAAGGCGACGAUCCGUAGCUGGUCUGAGAGGAUGAUCAGCCACACUGGAACUGAGACACGGUCCAGACUCCUACGGGAGGCAGCAGUGGGGAAUAUUGGACAAUGGGCGCAAGCCUGAUCCAGCCAUACCGCGUGGGUGAAGAAGGCCUUCGGGUUGUAAAGCCCUUUUGUUGGGAAAGAAAAGCAGCAGGUUAAUACCCCGCUGUUCUGACGGUACCCAAAGAAUAAGCACCGGCUAACUUCGUG